rnacentral:misc_RNA from 1 species
UAAUAAGUGUUUUAUGGCACUUUUUAAAUCCAUAUCCACCUUGUGUGCAAUGUCAGUCGAUCUUCUUCAUGGAGAUCGACCAAACAUCAACCUUUAUCUUUUAACUCUUCGUCUGAAAAUAUUAUGAAUAAACAAUUCAAAAUA